GAAUAUGGCCACACCACUCUGAACACGCCUGAUCUUGUCUGAUCUCAUGAAGCUAAGCAGGGUCAGGCCUGGUUAGUACUUGGAUGGGAGGAAUAGAUCUUGAAUUUU
rfam:Gorilla gorilla gorilla genomic chromosome, chr6, whole genome shotgun sequence